rnacentral:rRNA from 1 species
CGGGUGAGUAACACGUGGAUAACCUACCUAUAAGACUGGGAUAACUUCGGGAAACCGGAGCUAAUACCGGAUAAUAUAUUGAACCGCAUGGUUCAAUAGUGAAAGACGGUUUUGCUGUCACUUAUAGAUGGAUCCGCGCUGCAUUAGCUAGUUGGUAAGGUAACGGCUUACCAAGGCAACGAUGCGUAGCCGACCUGAGAGGGUGAUCGGCCACACUGGAACUGAGACACGGUCCAGACUCCUACGGGAGGCAGCAGCU